rnacentral:tRNA from 1 species
GGUUUAGUGGUCCAAUGGUAAAACGCUCGUCUCGGGACAAGAGGGUCCUGGGUUCGAUCCUCGAUGGGGUCG